rnacentral:rRNA from 1 species
CCCUUAGAUGUCCUUGGCUGCACGCGCGCUACACUGAUGUGUCCAGUAAGCACCUAACCUCUUCCGAAAGGAACGGGUAACCUUUGCAAAGCACAUCGUGAUGGGGAUAGAUUAUUGCAAUUAUUAGUCUUGAACGAGGAAUUCCUAGUAAGCACAAGUCAUCAGCUUGUGUUGAUUACGUCCCUGCCCUUUGUACACACCGCCCGUCGCUCCUACCGAUUGAAUGUUCCGGUGAGCUCUUCGGACUGCGCGGUCUGCAGUUUCUGCGUUCCGUGCGGAAAGUUGCGCAAACCUUAACAUUUAGAGGAAGGAGAAGUCGUAACA